AUAACAAUAUAUAGCACGAGGAAGAAGAAAGAAAAAGAAAAGAAAAGAAAAAAAGUUCGUAUACUUCAAAGUACACGUGGAAAAACAGGUUGGUAAUAAUUAAUACGUAAACAGCGAAUGUAAAGAGGAAAAGAAGAUAAGCGAGAAUGUUAAUGAAUACGCAAGAGUGUUUAGGGGUUACGGCGAAGGAAGGAGGGGAAACAGGAAAGAACGGUAAAAUUAAUUAAUCCUUCGGUGUCGUUUGUUUACAAAAUAUCCGCUUCCUGACAGGGCUGAAAAGCUCUCGGUCUCGAAACGAACGAACGAACGAACGAACGAACGAACGAACGAAGUUGUUGCGCGCGCAUUUAAUAUUAUCAAGGCGCCACCAGUAACGUAUAAAACGGGUUGCGAAUGAUUUAGAAUCAGUGAAAGUCAUGGAAACGAUAAUAAAUGCUGCCAAAGAAGAUGACGACAAUGCUGUUGCUGAUGCAAUGGAAUCGCUUUCGUAAUGUGCGAUUAUAGAUUAAUCUGAGAUAUCGAUAAAAUCUUUAAGGAAAA